UGUGCGUGUGUAUUUUAAAUUUCUGUGUGGUUUGGUACCAAAUUGAUGUGUUUAAAUUGUCUAAUACUACUUAUUGUCUUCUUAAAUAAGUUCAAAUUCACCCCUUGGUCUGUUAUUCCUGAGUCCUAGUUCUAGAUCUCCUUCAAACCUAGACUCUGGGCCUAUCUGUCAGUGAGUAACUACAGUGCCACACUACACAUUUUAAAAAAAAUUAUUAUUAGGCUACUUGUUUUGCAGCUCUUCUGGAUAUUUUGCUCCUAGUCUGUGUGAACUUUCUACAAAGUUAGUUAACUGGUCCCUCUUCAGUCAUAAAGGAGUAGACGCGUUUUGACUUGCUCUAGUGUGGUUUUUGUGUUCACAAUAUGUAUAUUACCAUCAAAGUGUUUGUGCAUACAGACGCAAAGUUAAGAAGUGUUCUAAAUAAUAUGUAGCCCUGGAUACAUUUCAUUUAGAUAUUUAUUGAAAUUAUUUUAAUGCAAUACAAAUAUAUAAAUAUGGUGAAGAAAAUAUAAGUUAAUGCCAUAUGUUAAAAUGGUUAACAUUAAUAAAACGUUUAAAAGGUAAGAUUUACAUUUACAGUUUUUAAAAGAUCAAAGUUUUAAGUUGAUGCAGUUGACUGUGGUUUGAGUGAAGUGUACAUGAUUCAGCACGUGUAAGGGUAAUCUGCCACACAGUUUAACAUGAUAGCAGCCUAAUAUGUCAAUCAUCGUCUUUCUGUACUUUUGUUGGAAGGUCAUGACCUAUCAGCCAAUGUAAUUACAAUCCCAGGUAGAGGGGCGGGGCUUAGCUGUAACCUGCAGAGAUCCAGUCAGAGAGACAGAGUCAGAGACGCUAAGUGAACGGACUGUGUGAGGUUUAGUAGGUUGUAGAAGGACAUUGUUAUCCAUUACUGAGGCUGACAACCAGUUCUGCUGUGUUUUGGCGUAUUGGAAUCGACAAGAGGAGACGGACAUUUGUGAGUGUAAAAGAGAGAGGAUCGGGGAAACUCCUUUGGACCACACAGAGAGCGAUCUUCCAUCCUGCUGGUGUGAUGUAGACUGUCGCUGCUGUUUUCUGUUCUGCUGAUCUUCCUACUGUGGUUUACCCGGUGCUCUGCCUGCUGCCAUCGCCAAGUUCGCCUUUUUCACAUAUCCCCUUGACUGGGAUUCUGACUCCCCUCAUCCGCUCAAUCUACAUCUUCCUGUAAGGGAGAUCACAUUCUCUGAAACAGUGCUGAUCCAGUUCAACUUUUCCCGGGGAGGCUGCGGGGUCAUCCAUUGUUUUGAAAGGUGUCACUUGACUGUCAGCUCUCCAUCGCAGCCCUGCAUGGCAGUCAAGAAAAGAACCUCCUGAACCAUUCCUGCUUAACUCACCUCCACUGGACCUUGCACAUUUUUUUCCAUCUCAACAUCAAACAUAUUGAACGAUACUCUAAAAUGUAUAUAGAAAUUGCUUACUUACUUUUCCUGGCACAUUUAACAUUAACUUGUACGUAAUACAUCCUCAUACACUGGAGUAUCUCAUGAGUACAGAUGCCCAUCAAUACGCUGUUGCAGGAGAGGUAAAUGACACCAAGAUAUGGCAGUUGAAGAAAAACAAAUGUAGAGUAUGUGAUAACAGGACAUGCAAGUCAUCAAUUAUCAACAGUGUUAUUUUUGUGGUGGAUAAGUAUAGAUUGAUCACACAAGUAAGGUUAACUAGCAAGUUGUUCGUUAAGGGCUGACGGCUGGUUAACAUUACGGACAAAAACUAUUUGUUCCUCGUAUUCUCUUGUGUGUAUC